CUCUUCUGUUUUUGUUGCUGAAAUGUGGGGAUUUGAAUUUUUCAGAUGGGCAUUGCAAUUGCUGGGAUGGUUGCCUUGAGCUCAAACCAACUGAGGGAGGAGAAGGCGGCUUCGGAUGAUAAGGAUGUCCGGAUCACAACUUUGGACACGGAUCUAAAGUUGGCCAAGUCCUCAGUUGACGAUUUGGGCGAGAAGUUGAAGGCAGCUGAGACUC
rnacentral:lncRNA from 1 species